rnacentral:rRNA from 1 species
AUACGGAAGGUCCGGGCGUUAUCCGGAUUUAUUGGGUUUAAAGGGAGCGCAGGCGGAGAUGCAAGCGUGACGUCAAAUUUCGGGGCUCAACCCCGUCUCGCGUCGCGAACUGCGUCCCUUGGUUGCGGGAAGGGGAGGCGGAACUCGUGGUGUAGCGGUGAAAUGCAUAGAUAUCACGAAGAACUCCGAUCGCGAAGGCAGCCUUCCGGCCCGUCAACGACGCUCAUGCUCGAAGGUGCGGGUAUCAAACAGGAUUAGAUACCCUGGUAGUCCGCACAGUAAACGAUGGACACCCGCGGUUUGGCCUGUAUGGCUGAGCCGCCAAGCGAAAGCGUUAAGUGUCCCACCUGGGGAGUACGCCGGCAACGGUGAAACUCAAAGGAAUCGACGGGG